AUUCCCCUGCCCCUUCGGAGUGUUCGUCGGGAGUGUCCUCUGCCUACUCAGCUGUGGAUCGAUACGAGGUCUCGACGCAGCAGCAGCUGGGACCCAUGGACGAGGACGAACUGCUGGACGUCAUCUCAUGGUGGCAACAAAAAUAGCAUAAACGUAACCGACGUUCGGAAUCAAGUUUGGACGAAUCCCUCCGAAAUAAUGUGCAUUAAUUUAAUUGUACCGCAUUAUUUGUGAAGACGAAAAGACUCUUGAUAUUUCUAGUCAUACCAUAGUGCCUUAAUAUUAAUAGACAUUUACUAAAUAAGCGUUGGUCAGAGUGUGGAACUGAUGUUUCGAUGUGUCUCUACCUUGCGGACUUUUGCGAACAAGUGAAGACGUUUGCAUAUUAUUGUAAAUACUAAACGGCGUUGUUUAACAAGAAUAUUAAAUUAUUUAUUAAAAAA